ACCCAAUAGAUACCCGGGUAGUCCUAGCCCUAAACGNUGCUCAUUAGAUGUGGGAGGUAUCGACCCCUUCCGCGUCGCAGCUAAACGCAUUAAAUGAGCCGCCUGGGGAGUACGGCCGCAAGGUUGAAACUCAAGGGAAUUGACGGGGGCCCGCACAAGCGGUGGAACAUGUGGUUUAAAUUCGACGCAACGCGAAGAACCUUACCUGGGCUUGAACUACUCGUGGUAGUUCGCUGGAAACAGUGGACGACCCGCAAGGGAGCGAGCAGAGGUGCUGCAUGGUUGUCGUCAGCUCGUGUCGUGAGAUGUUGGGUUAAGUCCCGCAACGAGCGCAACCCCUACUCGAUGUUGCUAAUCCCGCAAGGGAUGCACUCUUCGAGAACUGCCUUCGAUAAGAAGGAGGAAGGUGGGGACGACGUCAAAUCCUCAUGGCCCUUAUGUCCAGGGCAACACACGUGUUACAAUGGCCGGUACAAUGGGAAGCAAUACCGUAAGGUGGAGCAAAACCCAU
rnacentral:rRNA from 1 species